ensembl:snRNA U6 U6 spliceosomal RNA
GUGCUCACUUCGGUAGCACAUGUACUAAAAUUGGAACAAUACAGAGAAGAUUAGCACGGCCACUGCACCACAAGAAUGACACGCAAAUUCAUGAAGCGUUCCAUAUUUUU